rnacentral:rRNA from 1 species
GUCUACAGCCAUCGCACCCUGAAUGUUCCCCAUCUUGUCUGAUCUUGGAAGCUAAGCAGGGUUGGAUCUGUUUAGCACUUGGACGGGAGAAAGUAAGAGAGGUCUCAAAUGAUUUAGUGA